rnacentral:rRNA from 1 species
GAUGAACGCUAGCGGCAGGCUUAAUACAUGCAAGUUGAGGGGCAGCAUGAUAUACGCGAGUAUAUUGAUGGCGACCGGCGGACGGGUGAGUAAUAGGUAGGAGACCUACCUCAUACAGGGGGAUAGCAUAGAGAAAUCUGUGGUAAUACCCCAUGAGGUUAUAUGAAUAGAGGCAUAUAAUCAAAGCAUAAGCGAUUAUGCGGUAUGAGAGGGGCCUACUGACCAUUAGCUAGUUGGUGAGGUAAGGGCUCACCAAGGCGAAGAUGGUUAGGGGUUUUGAGAGAGAGACCCCCCCACAUUGGAACUGAGAGACGGUCCAGACUCCUACGGGAGGCAGCAGUAGGGAAUAUUGGGCAAUGGGCGAAAGCCUGACCCAGCCAUGCCGCGUGAAGGAAGACGGCCUUAAGGGUUGUAAACUUCUUUACUACGCGAAUAGAGGUUAGUACGAGAUACUAAUAGGAAGGUAGUGUAGUAAAAGCACCGGUAACUCCGUG